CUCUCUCUCUCUCUCACUCACUCUCUCUCGGAGGGAGGGAGGGGCAAGGCAGGCCAUUAGUUGACUGUGUGGGAGAGCCACAGUCACCAGACACCUCAGAGAGAGAGAGGGAAUUGUGGGCAGAAAGAGAUGGAAUGGGAUGAUGGAGAUAUGCUCUACUGCCUCUGAGUGAGAUGUCUCCUGUCCCGCCAGUGGUUGCAGGUGUGAGACAACUAAGGAGUCAGGGCUCUUGGGUACCAACCAGUCUCUUGCAGUGAAGAUGGUUGCAAAUGGUGAAUCCAUCUAUCUGCAUGGGUUUAUGAAUGAGGCAGACGCCCACAGAAAGUGAUGCAGUGCAGAAGCAUGGUGGAUCCAUGUUGCAACAGAGCUUAAGGCUGAAAUGUUUCAUUGGAGCACAUGGCAAAUGGACUUUGUGCUGUAUGACUAAGUGAUCAAAUAUGGACUCCAGCCUGCUGGCCUGUGUCGCUACUUGUGUCCCUUUUUGUAUGUUGUAUGAUGGUUUUAACUAACAUGGAUUUUAAGCUAAACGUAAGAGAAAAGGAUGUUUAUGUAAAUGAAAUAUGGAGACGAUGAAAUCGAAUUCAAUUGAGAAACUUUGUGGUGAAACCUUGGUAAACACCAUGCCUUAAAAUAAAUGCAUUGAACUGUC